CGACCGGCGCACGGGUGAGUAACGCGUAUCCAACCUGCCUUUACUAUGGGACAGCCCGUCGAAAGGCGGAUUAAUACCGUAUGUUGUCAUGUUGAUGCAUAUUUUCAUGACCAAAGGCUUCGGCCGGUAAAGGAUGGGGAUGCGUCUGAUUAGCUUGCCGGCGGGGUAACGGCCCACCGGGGCGACGAUCAGUAGGGGUUCUGAGAGGAAGGUCCCCCACACUGGUACUGAGACACGGACCAGACUCCUACGGGAGGCAGCAG
rnacentral:rRNA from 1 species